CAUAGCCUCCCCCGCCGCCACCAUGUUUGCCAUCUAACGCCGCCACCCCAAGCCUGGUCCUCCCGUGGAUCUGCCGUCCUCCGCCAGCCCACUCCCUCCCUUCUCCACCAGCCCUCCGCCGAUGGUGACGCGGGAAACCACGAGCGGCGGUUGCCGUGGAGGAGGCCAUGGUGAGCGCUUCCGGCACCGACCGUCCGUGAGUGCCGGCGGCCAUCCGCGUUUCUCCUCGAUUGGGCCAAUGCCAUUACGACGAGACGGCGCGGCCGGCGAUGGAGUAGUUCACCGGCUUCCACUCCUCUACUAUUUUGGCACCUCCCCCUUGUGUGCCGUCUCCAACCGGUGGCGUCGUGGCCCUACUUUGCUGAGAUCCACAUCGUUGUGCUCCUAUUUCGACUGGAACAAUCCAGCCACUCGUGUUGAGACCAGGUUCCUCGACGGCGGCGCCACCGUCUCCAACAGUCACUAGAUGCAUCUUGAUCGGGUGAGACUGAUGAGAAUCAUUCGCAAGUGGUGGCGGUGGACGGCUAGAGCCACCUCCCUCCGCCGCCAGCAGAUCAUCUCCAACAUGGAGCGCAGAGAAUGCAGUAGGCUGACCUGCUAGCGCUACUCAUGGACCAGAUCUUUAACUAAAGCUCGAUCCACCACAUUGACAAGAAGUUCCUCGUUAAGGACUCAGUGUGCUGAUGCCUCUUUUACAGAAGCUCCAGUCAUAUGACAUUUGAAGAAGCCAGCAAAAAGUAGCGUCUUAUAUUUAUUGUAAUAAUAGGCCUACAUAUUGUAACUUUCAAAUUUCAGUGUUAUUUGAAGAAUUUCAUGUGUUC